GACGUAGGUCCCGAGCGUUGCCCGGAUUUACUGGGCGUAAAGUGCGCGUCGGCGGUUCGGCAAGUCGCCUGUGAAAGUCCGGGCUCAACCCCGGGGUGCCGGGCGAAACUGCCGGGCUAGAGGACGGCAGAGGAGGGUGGUGCGGCCGGAGUAGAGGUGAAAUGCGUAGAUACCGGCCGAAAUCCCGAUGGCGAAGGCAACCCUCUGGGCCGUUCCUGACGCUGAGGCGCGAAAGCGUGGGGAGCGAAUCGG
rnacentral:rRNA from 1 species